UUUCUUUUUUUUUUUUUGUCAAUUAUUACUAUCUACCCUAAUCUUACUUUUAAAGUCCAGUUAAGACUGUUGAAGAACCGACGGAGAUUGAAUUACUAUUUACGCACUCAUGUGGAUUUAAAAGUCAGGAAUGAUUUAUUUGUGUUCGUGGGCUCUCUCUCUCUCUCUCAAACAACACUCACUCCAUCUUGAUCUUGUAAUAGAUUGUUGAGGCCCCAUCGAUUGCAUCUGUGUAUGCAGAGCAGAGGGAUAUAGAUAUGAAUUAUAGAACUAGACAGCCAAGCCAAGUGCUGGGAGACAUGGCUAGCUAGCUACACCAUUCACUCUCAUUCCCCAACUUAAAACACUACCUUAUGACCAUCGGAAAAUAAGCAAAUUCUUGUAGAUAAUAUAAUGGCAGCAUUACUUCUAAACCGGCAGAUCAUGCUUUAAACACAAACCUAGGAGAGGAAUGGUUUUGAGACCUUCCCAGCUGUGAGUGCCACGGUUCUUAGUCUGAAACAUUUGCUCUACUUAAUCCAUACACAUUGUCCACAACAAUGCAAGUUGACUUUUGAUCUAAAUAAAUAAAAUCAAGCAAAUUCUUGCAAGUUUUCAAUACUUAUAGCAACCGUCCUGUUAUUCUUUUUUUUUUAUAUAUAACAAAGAGAAUUAACUGUGAUUAUCCAUUUAUUCCUUUAAUAAUUAAUGAUUCGAAUUCUUAUCCUGUUGAUUACAGAUAAAGCAUUUCAUCAAUUAAAUUGCGUUUCAUUGUCAAAGCAACCUACUUUAUUUGCAGCAUCCCUCCCCAAAACAAGCUACGAUAAAUGCCAUUAAAUUUUUUUAUGACCAUCGUAUUUAUCAGGAAAGAAAAAAUGAAUAUGCAUGGCCCACAGCCCAUCACUGUUCAACUGCUCUUUGCAAUGUAAUGUUUAUCCCUUGUGGAGAGUUUCAUAAACACGUCUCCUACGAAGUUAGGACCCAAUCAAUCUGGAUCCAACGAUUUCUUGUGUCAUAAAAUAAUUAUAUCAAUGCCCAGGAGAAUAUAUUCACAUGACUGGAGAUUUUAAAUAUAGUCACCGGCCAAUAAUUCCCCAAAAAAUAUUUUGCAAUUUGACUCCAUCGAUCUCAUCCUUUUUACAUCAAGAUUUUUUUUUUUUACAUACAUACACAAAGAUCAGGGUUUGAAGCAAAACAAACCGUCUGGAUCUCCAGGAGGAAGAGUUAAAAUAUUAUAGUAGAAAAAUGCAAACCGAAAAAGAAAAAAAAAAAAGGGGAAAACCUCGAUAUACUAUCGAACGCUUCUAAAUCAGACCAAAAAAUACAGAGAAAAAAAAAGGAAAAGAUGGAAAUAGACGAGUAAUAAUCAACCUAAUCAGAAGAAAUUUUAUUCUGCGAGUUCAAGAAACCGUUGAAGUUGGUGGUGCACUCAAACAAGGCCUUAGCGUUCAUUUCCCUUUCAAACCUCCAAAUGUAAUUCAACCCAACUAGCAGCUCCGUUAUGGCCGCCUCGGUCUUCUCUUGAUUCGCGAAAUACAACGUUUGCAGCAGAAGAACAUUUGUCUUGGGCGACAAAUUUUGCUGUUCAAAGCUCCUUUCACUUUGCCACUUGAUCAUGUUAUGUGCUAAUGGUGACAGCCAACCCAAUAUCUUAUGCAAAGCGUCCCUCCAUUCUCCAGCGAGAAAUGGAUCGCUAGCCGAAAAUCCUACCCCUUUCAGUCUUGCCCUCAACGACGAACGAAUACUGAUCGGCAGCAAGGAAUAUAAAUCAUCUCUGGCAUCAAUACCCACCAACUGGGGUGACCUAAUCAUCUUCUCUAUGACAAUGAUCAAAUUCGCGUAGUGUAAGGAAAGAGCAGCCGCGCCUAGUGUACUGGAAGGCGGUUUCAUUGGCUUGGAGUUUACCUCAAAGAAGCCGUGAUCAAUGUCCGGAUUAGUGGUGGCACCUUUUUGGUGGUGAUCAUCUUCCGAUUUCGGGUUUUUCAUCAAUGGCCCGGAUACAAAAUUGCAUGUGUUGGGAUGUUCAGAAGGGUAGACAGUAGCGGAAGCUGAGAGACUCCGAGGUAGAGAAAUUGGAUGUCCGUGACUGGUAUUAGCAAUGCCAAAAACAAGCUUUAUUCUAGCGAGAAUGGUGAAUAUUGACUUUGCUAGCAAUAAUGUGGCCGUGUCGAAACUCCGACCCCAUAAAGAUCUUUCUUUCAGGUACUUGACUUCUUGCCUUUGCCAGAGAAGCUUCUGUUGCAGCUCAGUGAUCUUUUGUUCUUUGAAUGUAAGCGUGCCCAGGUCGCGCUCCUUGUUGGAUUGCAGUAACUGAGAUUUCCUCAAACUGUUCUCAACCACCAAAAGCUCGUCCAUCUCCCGAUGAAGCGUGGCCGUGAUGGUAACGAAGUGAUCCAUUUUCUUGAUCUUGGCUUCCAUUUCCUUCCAGCUUAAAACCCAGUGAUGAGGAUCCCGCCCCGUGUUGGAGAACUCCUGGAGGCAUCGAUCGAAGGACCGGAGAUUUGAGUCCUCACAUUUCUUACUCAAUCUUGAAACCGACUUUGCAACUAGCCUGAGAUUUUCCACUAUCUCUGCGCAUGCUAGGCCUAGUAGAAAAUCUUCGUCAUUGGAGACGAUCUUGCGAACUCCUUCUAGAGAUAUUGAUUCGUUGCGAAGACGAGUGAUGCUCUUGUCUGAUAGAGAUUGCCAUAGAUGGAGAAGCUUCGCCAUAAAGCCAGCGAUCUCAAAUGCUAAAACCCCGACGCUUGAUUUCUUGAUCACUAGUGCAGGUUUUGCUGCAGCUUUUGGUACUGUGGCGCUACGAACUGUGUCGAAACUGCUCGAGAUCGUCUUCUUUACCUUGACCAACCAUGUUUCAAGAGCCAUCAUUAAUUCCUUUGGAUGAAAGGGAUGUGAUUAAUCUUAAUAACCGAAUAUGGGCUGUAGGUUUGAUAGCAAUAAAUGAUCAGCUGGGAAAGAUGAAAGAGAUGCUAGGUGACGAGAUGAGGAGAGAAGGAAGAAAUAAUUGAAGAAUGGAGACGCAGCAGAGAUAAGGAUAAUAUUUGGGAAGAAAGAGUUUCCAAGAUGCAGUUUGAGGUCCGUUUGAUACUGAUGAGGGAGCAUCACAAAUAUUUCAACUAUAUCAAAUUUACAAGUUAGCAGCUGCAGUAGCAGUAUUAUACUUUAUACUUAAAACAUUAAUCCUAAUUAACAAAUUAAAUUCUCCUACUGCCAGUACCAGAGGGGAAGUGAUUUUGUAAAAUGCUAGUACUGUAGUAGAAAAUGGGUAUCAUUCAUGCCCACAUGCAAAAGAGAGCGUGACGCAUCAUCUGGCCAAUUGCAUGACUUGUCGACUCUGAUUUUGGAUGCCACUUGUUCACUGUGCAGGUGAGAUCCAGAAACAAUUGUGAUUAGUACUCCAUAAGGGAAGUAACUAUCUUCAUUAAUCGAUUUGUUGUCCUCUAAUUCAUCUACUCGAUAAAUUAAUGAUGCUAUUUGCAAAUUAAGUUGACACAUGAAAACGAUAGCAACAGUGCUAUGCAUGGUUCCUUUAGGAUGCACAUAAAUUAAUGCCUUUCCUCUAAAACCGUCGAAUUGAAUAUUUGAAUUAUACCCGCAGAGCUCUAGCCUUAAUUUUUUACCUUUCGAUCCUUUGGUCAAACAAUUUUGGAGCCGCAAAGAAUGCAUGGAAUGGAAUAAUUAGAUGAGGCAUUUAAGUUACAAACAGAAUAAGAAAAGAAAAAUUAGCAAAAAAAAAAAAAAUGUUUGACAAAUUAAAGAGAGCACAUGAAAAAUACUCGUCAAAUUGUCUUUUCAUGAUUCUUUUAAUCAGUCAAAUUAACUUAUCCCAAAUGCUUAUCAUUAAUGUGCUAUGGUCUAUCAUGUACCAUUUUGCUAACCGCCAGCCUAAUGGCUGAUGGCCACCACCAAUGCAUUAAAGCUUGGUGGGGUGGGAGACAGGGUUCAAAUCUUGUCUCUCACCAAUUUGCCACAUUAAAGUGGCUCUGCUUAAAAAUUCAGACUGGUACGUAGUGCAUCCGUUUGAUCCGAUGGUGAUUCAAUCCCCUCCGAAUUACUCCUGGAUCUCUUCAGUUCCUCCCUCUCCCCCCUAGUGCAGGAUGAUCUAUCGUAGCGACAAAAAAAAAAAAAAAAGUAACCAUUUUGCUGUUCACUUCUCCGUUUUUAAUUUUUCGAAGGAUGAAAUUUCACCCUAAGUAGCUAGGUAUAUUAUUUUCCUAUGCACUUGCGCCCGCAAUGAUAAACUGUUUCUUCAUAGAAUAGAGCUCCAGUCAGCAAUAAAAGGUAAAACAAACAACAUGCACGCCCCCCCCAUUGGUCAUCAUGGUAUACUACUCCUCCUUGCAGCGACUUUUUUAUUUAUUUAUUUAUUAUUAUUAUUAUUGAUUUGCAAUCUGAGACUGGAGAGUGCUACACAAAUUGUACGUAACAGGACUCAGACAUUUUGAUAGUUGUGGGAAGUGAUGAAUGAUCUUGUUGACCCUGAACUAGUCAGGCGAGGGGGAAGAGGGGACGAUCAAUUUCAUGCGGGAGGACUCGGCCUUCUCGCUUGCAGCAUGCGUAUGUGGUUUGACCAAAUUAAUUAAAGCUGGCCAUUUUGCAUGCGAUCUGAUCUAAUAUAACAACAACAACUGGUGUUAUGUAAAUGGUGGAUUCAAAGACAACGGAAAUCUAUUAUAUUCACGUAGAUUUUAGACCAGAACAUGAAGAAGUUUAUGCGGACAGUGCAUAUUAUAUGUAAACCCUCAUGAUUCACUACGUACACAGGUUCACAUGGUAUUCUAUCCAAGUGGGCUUCUCCCAUUGUGAAAUCUUCUACUUCUUGAUCAUAUGCAACUGCAUUUACUUCUUCAUAUAUAUAGUUGAUUGCGUUUAAAAUUAAUCAAGUGUUUCUACUUUCUAGUACUAGUUAAUUGGUGUUACAUUCUCUAUCAUGAGUGCCUUAUUGCUUCUUUCAAAAACACAAAUUCCUCUUAGGAGCUGGUUAAUAAAGCAUUCUUUUUCUUUUCUGGGCAUAUAUAUUAAUUAUGUGGGUGUUAAUUUGUUCAUGUUCCCCCUCCCUGCAGUGUAGUUUUAGGAGAGUAUGAGAAUUGAUGUUUCCAAUUAGAGUAAAGACACUGGUGAUAGUGGAAUAUAUGAACGGAGGACAGGAGUAGGAGGCCAAGGAGGGAGGACCUAAUCAUCAACAAGAAAGUUUAUAUAUAAUUUCUACUAACUAGUGGCUUUUUGCCUGCCGUUUCGAGGGCAUCAAGCAAGAUCCGCGUUCCCAUUGUCGGCAAAUGUAAGGGCACCCAGAUUUCUUUCUUGAUACAAGCGAGUGGGAGACCCCUCUCUCUCUCUUCUUUCUCAUCAGAGAGAUACAAUAAGCCAUCUAUCACACACUCUGAUGGUAAUGUGAGAAAAGAGAAAAAAAAAGUGCAAAACUGGAAAAGCACUUGGGCACACUUCAAAUGCUUUGCCCUUCUGCUUUUAGGGAUGUUUAUUAGCAGUAACAAUUACCUACUAAUAAAAGAGAGUGCAUAUGUUCAGAAAGGAAGAAAAAUAGCAGUGCUAAGUAGAAUCACGAAGGCAGGUGGACGUAGGCUUAAUCAGUUAAUCAAUAGAAACCCCGAAAUCCGAAUUAUACAGGCUCGUGUGCUUGUUAAUCCAUUGGGAUUUGCAGUGACGAUGGUAGGGGAGUAUCAAGAGAGCCGACAUUGCCCCUGUCUGCAUCAAAUUUCAAAGCGGAGUUCUUACAAAGAAUGAUUGGAAAUGAAGCCUCCUUCGCCGUGUUAUCUUUUCUUUGUAUUAGUUGUUUGCUUGCUUUGAACGUAUAAACAAGAGAUGCAGCAAGGGAUUUGUCUUUCUUGCCUAUCUUAUUAAGUUAAUCUUUUGAACCUCAGCUCGAAAUUGAAUUGUCAAAUGGCCAUUGGUUGAUUACCGUCCUUGAUCUGUUUAAUUAAUCUACUGAUUUGGUUAAAACUGCGAAAUUUCUCGUUCAUCCAAACGGUUGAUAUUGUUCACAGUGGUUCACUCAAAACAUAUCAAUGCACGUCUGAUGCAGAUUAGACAGAAGGAUAAAACGUUAAGAGAGAGGUCCCAUAUAUAGUUAUUAUAUAUUCAUAAUCAAAUUUAUGCAUUGGAAGACAAAUGAAUAUUGUCAUCAACCAUAAGCAUAUCAUUUGGUGAGCUUCUCUCAAGGUUUCUUGGAUGCUAAGAUUGCACGCUAACAUAAUAUUCCGUUAUUGGAUCCAUGUAACCACAAAUCAAAUUAAAGACUCCUUUGCCCAUUUAAUCAUUUGUUUCCUGUCUUUAAAUCGCCAUUAAGUAUCGGCUACUUUUCUUCUGAUCGUUUACUCGAAUCUAAGUUAUAUACAAAUGAGAGGUCAAAGUAACGCAUCACCCAAUUUUCUUUCUUUCUUUGUGAGGAGACAGUGAAAAGAUGAUCUUGAAAUCACUAGUUCAACUAUUAGACCAUUCUCAUUCUCCUACUUUUUUUUACAGCGUAUCAUUUAGUUUACAUGUGUGCACAUUCUACCAUCAUUCAUAUUUUACCUAUAGGCGUGACUGCCUUGUCCGUGGAGCUGGAGCAUGUAAUGAUGUGUCUUAAAAGCUAAUCGUAGCAUUCAAUCCAGUCAAACAGAAGUAGCGAAAAUUAUCAGAGUUCUGUUUCAUUGGGGAAAAAAAAAGUUUAAGAAUCAUGACUAAAAUAUUUUGGAACGCAAUCCAUUGCAAUGCAACAAGGUCACACUAACUAAAUUUAUUAAAUAGUGAUGAGGGGAAACAUCUAGAGAAAACCCAUCAAAGAGUCCAAUAUAUAAGUUAGGAACCCAACUAUGACCCAAAAAUUUAAGUCAUUAGGUACUGGACCCUUACUUACGUAUUAACCGCUCUUUCUCCAUUUUUCGGACCAAUGUGAGACAUAAUUCUUUACUCAUGAAUCUAACAAAUCUCCCCUUCAUGAGUAACCCCUCACAUUAAACCCAAAUUUACGCCCUUUUUCGAUCUCACUUUAAUACUCAACGCAAGUCCACGUUAUCACCUAAAGUCACCUCUUUUCUCAAAUAUGGAUCCACUUUUUUUCAACAUCCAAACUGCAUUUUGGACCCCUGCCAACCUUUGGCUCCUUCAUCCAACACCAAUCGGACCCCCUGUCAAACCCAUAGCACACCUGGUCCAACACCAACCAAACUUCUUGUCACUUCGGUCCAUCAUCAAGGAGAGAAUUUUCACCGGUCCAACUCCGAGAAGAAUCCACUUACCCAUGAGUAGCCCAGUCUUCCAAUCUGAAGUUCUGAUACCAAUUUGAUAUGGGAAAAUACCUCGAAAAAGUCCAUCAAAGAGUCCAAUAUGUAAGUCAGGAACCCAACUCUGAUCCAAAAGUUUAAACCAUUAGGCUAAGACCCUUACUUACAUAUUAACCGUUAGGCUCUAUCUCUAUUUCUCGGACCAAUAUAGUACAUAACCCUUUACUCAUAAAUCUAACAAAUAGGAUAUGUGACAUGUAAUGAAACUGAAAGAGAAGGUCGUCUUCAUUUCAAAGAUUUUUAACUUUUAAGGGAGGUCUAACAAAGUAAAACAAACCCUGGGACUGGUUAGUAUAAUUUGGUGAAACUUUUAACCUAAUGUAAAUGACGUUAAUCGCUUAGUGUCUUUUUUUUUUAACACUGCAACUGCUAACCUCCUCUUAUAUUAAGGGAUGGGGAGGAAUCAAAGGGGAACGUUAAUCGCUUAGUAAGUUUGUGCGAGAAUGGAGAAAUAAGUGAUGUGACAUCACCACUACCGAUUUGGUAAGAAAAUUAUGGAUGAAAUGAAAGUUAAUGUGAUAUCUCUGUUUAAACAUUUGGCAAGAGAAAUGAUUCCACAGUGAAAGGACCACUAACACAUUUGACUAAUGCCAUCAUCUCCAGUUUGGAAUUACCAAUCAAUGACGAAGACCUCAGACAGGCUUAAUUCCACUUUGCAGCUUUUUACUAUGCCUAGAUUCUCAUCUUGAUAUCUAAAUCUUAGAAUGAGACGUUCCACUUCCUAAAAUACAGAAUCUGCUCCACUUAAAUAAAAUGCAUCUUAUUUUAGUUCUUAAAAUAUAAAAUAUGUCUCACUUAUGUGAAAAAUUUGGAUGAACUAAGGUAUAAAAGACUAUCUUGUAAAAGACCAAAGUAGGACGAUUAAUUUUAUAUGCACUGUCAAUAAUUAAUCUGACUUUUAAAUUAUAAUUUAGAUUUUGCAUAGUUAUUAAGUGUACAAUCGUAAUAAUAUAUACGCUAUCAGUAUAUAUAAGAUUAACUCUUCAUUAUUUUAGAAAUUAAAAUAUUUCACUUUGAAGUUUAGGGAUUAAAGUGAGAAUUCGAGCAUAGUUGAAGGAUGCAAAGUGAAAUUACUCCCUCAGAUAUUACCAAAAUGGAAAGGGAAAAAUAAUAAACCAAACGAUAAGGACAAAGGAUAAAAUCCGAUUAUGAGUCGAAUUUGGUAUGAUUAAGACCGUACACCAAGCCAAAUUGGAAUGGCCAACUGAGUGAGAACAAGAAAUUAACUGCCAUGGCCCUGUCAUUCACAGUGCACAUAAAUACGAUUGAUCAUGGAAAUUCAUCCAAUUUGGACUGGAAAAUUAGGUAUCCGGAGCACGACUUUGAAAGGAAUGUAAGGCUCUGUUUUCAUGUCAAAAUCGCACUCAUUUCGCUUCACCACUCCAUUUCCCUCCAUCGAUGGGGGACGUUGAGACUAUAGACAAUUAUAUAUGUAGUGUACAUUGCUGGAAUCCCACUUUCCUUUUAAUGCUUUUACACUGGGGAAAAGUCGUGUUUUCAAUGAACAGCAUGGAAAGGGGGCCCAAAACCAAAAAAAAAAAAUAUAUAUAUAUAUAUAUAUAUAUAUUGCAAAUUACUGCUCGCAAUUGAAAUUUCAAACAGCGCACGAGUAAUUUCGAGGGAGAAAGGGGAAUGGACAACGCGCGUGAGAAGAAUGUAAGAUUUUAAUUAUGGGCCUCUUGUUCACGAAAGUGGUCCGGCGGAGGAUUAGUGCUCCACUUUAACUGGACAUUUACUAAAGGGUCAAGGCCCAAUUCCAACCAGGGAGGAAUGGUCAAUUGCUGUUUUGAUGGUCCCUCCCAACCCUCAGUCAGAACAACUUUUGGAAGCAUCUCUCUGACAUUAAGAAGCUACAAACAUGAUGAUGAUCAGAUCCACUGACCAAAAUACUUACUAUAUACUUAUGACUAACUAAUUAAUCUGCCCCUUUCUACUUGCUUAGUCAAGGGAAACAAAGAAUUGCAAAAAAAAAAAAAAAAAAAACAAAACCAGCCCAUUGAUUAACAGCAUGCACGUGUGUAAUCAUGAUCUACGUACAUUAAGGACGGAAUGAUGCAGUAACACGCACGUGCACAUCCCAACCCCCUAUAUACAUACCUAUAUAUAUAUAUAUAUAUAUAUGCGACUCGUAUCCCCAUACCCCACACUCCAAUAUAAAAGGUGGAAUCAAAAUGUUCAACGAAGCACACUAUCCCUGUGGAUUUGUAGUAAGAACAGGAGCUGUUUCUUUUACCCAAGGGGAAAACAAAUAAAGAAGAAAACUAUUCAUGGAAUCCCUGUACAACUAUGCAAAUUUUGUAACCAUGAACAUCUAUGAUCGCAUUCGGUUCGAGCUAAUUAUUUUCCAUAUGGCACGAAACUAGCGCCCGAGAUUGGACGUGUUACAAUAGAUGAUUAGUAAAAGGGUAAAAAAUAAAAAAACCCUCCAUGAUAAACCUAAUGUAUAGAAAAGCGCACAAUGGUUUCAAAACGUACAACAUGACACCUUAUGCUUUGAACUAAAUUGUAAAGGUGAUGGAAUCCGUUAAACUUAACAGAAAUGAAUGAAAUAACCAAAAUGCCAUGAUAUAAUUAAGUAAAAGACAGCUCAAAAAAUCAUUUGUUUUAUUCUUUAGAUAGAGAGAAUUAAGGAUUAAGGAGUAGAACAAGUAUAUUUGUUAAAAAUUAGCUAUAAAAUUUUUUUUUAGGUUUCAAUAAGUCAUUUCCGUUAAGUUUAACAAAUUUCGUCACCUUUACAAUUUAGUUCAAAGUAUAAUAACAAUUUAGUUCAAAGCAUAAGGUGUCAGGUUAUACAUUUUGAAAUCACGAAAAGCUUUUCUAUAUAUUAGAUUUUUCACAGGAGAUUUUUUUAUUUUUUACCCUUAGUCAAAACUAGCCGUGCACAAAGAAGGUAAAAUUGCACUUUCUUUUUUAUUAUUUUUUUUAAUCUUUACGGAUGAUCGCCCGCUCAAUGUACGACUACUUUGUCCCAACCAAUCGCGAACCAUAUACCCCAAUUGGUCAGACACCAGAAGGAGCUCAGAAUAGAGAACAAUAAGUCGUGGACACAAGUAGAGGUUUUAAAAUAGAUGAUUUGAACGAAUUUGGAUUGACUAAAAUGAAUCAACUCAUUUAUAUUCAUUUAAUUAAAUAAAUAUAAAUUAAUUAAUUAAAAAAUAAAUUAAAUAAUCCAAUUACCCAUUUAUUUUAACUUUUUAUAAACUCAUCUAUAUUCAUUUUUGCAAACUAAAUUAUCAAUUUAUACCAACCUUUGCACCCAUCAUCACACAAGAUUGGACAUCACAGAAUCAUUCAGUUGGAGUUGCUAAGCCGAACUCCCACAAAGUCCCACCACAACAUCAAAAGUUAGGCAGACGUUCCAGAAAUUUUUCUCAGCAAAGUGAAAACAUACUCCAAAGAAGCAACUACAUUAUAAAUAAGAUGAAGCUGUCCAACUACAGCAAAGAUGCAACUACAUUAUCAAUAACUGUACAACACG
rnacentral:lncRNA from 1 species